UACGAGGGAGGCAAGCGUUGUUCGGAAUUAUUGGGCGUAAAGAGCGUGUAGGCGGUCCGGUAAGUCGGCUGUGAAAGUCCAGGGCUCAACCCUGGGAUGCCGGUCGAUACUGCCGGACUAGAGUUCGGAAGAGGCGAGUGGAAUUCCCAGUGUAGCGGUGAAAUGCGUAGAUAUUGGGAGGAACACCAGUGGCGAAGGCGGCUACCUGGACCGGAACUGACGCUGAUGCGCGAAAGCGUGGGUAGCAAACAGG
rnacentral:rRNA from 1 species